rnacentral:lncRNA from 1 species
CGUGUCCGAUUUCCUCUCUUCUGAACGAGAAAUGGUGGGAGCCAACGGAGAGUAACUGUAGGAAGUUGUGUUUCCCAACAGGAGUCAACUCUCAGGGACGUAUUCCCCCAAGAAACGCACGACCAGUGUCCGUCCUUAGAGGGCAUGAGGCAGAUCCUUUGGCUGAGCUGCGUUUCUCUGGAGCAGCUCAGAAAUGCAACGGACUGUUUCCUGGAGGGUGCGGAGGGCUGAGCUGAGGUCUGGGCUGCCCUCCUUGCUCCGUGGGUUCCCUCCGCCACGCUGCUGGAGCGUGUUCACAGAUGGUCUCUCCAGGUGAGAGGGUGAAAGCUGCGCUGGUAACUGCAUCUUGGCUGAACACAUGUCUGCCUGGCUCACAAGGAUGGGAAGACAUGGAGAGAUGGCCAUUCCACUCCCUGGACUCAUCUGCCCUGACUUGGAUGACCGACUCCUGACCCAGCCGGGCUUCCUGCAUCUGGGCUCAGCUUUCGGAGGCCCAGCCUCCGAAAAAGGACACAGCCGCCAGGACCUGCCUCAGCUCCCCAGGUGGCCGGGCGCUUUCCAUCCAGCUGGAAGAUGCUGGUGCCCUAGGGCAGGGCUGCAGCCUGUGGCAGAUCUGCACACCCGUGGCCCACAGAUCUGCUUUCGCCCACACUCCCAGGGCCUCUUUCCAUGCAUCCUCUGACUGACUGACUCUUUCUCUUAUAUAAACACACACAUCAAGGGAAGGAAACCUUUAGUGUUACCGUGUUUUAACCUGGAACAGGUUAAACAGGUAAACGUCUUCUCCUGCGGUCUGGAGGAAUGUGGGGGACAGCACCUGUGAGUGGCGGGCUGGGGCGGGGGUCAGUGUCCUUCAUUCUUCCUGCUGGGCAAGCUCACAAGUCAAAUAUUGGGUCUAAUUUUUAAAGCCAUUUUCGUGACAGUGGUUUUCCAUUUAAUCCCCAGAGCUAACAAUCUGUGAUCAGUUUCCCUGAACAAAUGCCCUCCUUUAACUUCAUUAGCUCGUAAUUAAUUUGCUAGCAUGUGUCCAAGAUAAUUAACACUCCUGAUUAGAGACAGGCAAAGGAGGGACUUCCUUUUUCGUGGUCAAUACAAACAUUGAUUAAAAUCUGAACUGUUUCCUAAUUCUCCUUACAAUUUAAUUCAGUGAAAGUGGCGAUCGGUAAUUUGUGGUGGUUGUUUAAAACAUUAAAUUGGAGGUGAGACAAAU